rnacentral:rRNA from 1 species
CUACGGGACGCAGCAGUGAGGAAUAUUGCACAAUGGGGGGAACCCUGAUGCAGCAACGCCGCGUGGAGGAUGGCGCAUUUCGGUGUGUAAACUCCUUUUAUAUGUCAAGAAAAUGACGGUAGCAUAUGAAUAAGCACCGGCUAACUCCGUGCCAGCAGCCGCGGUAAUACGGAGGGUGCAAGCGUUACUCGGAAUCACUGGGCGUAAAGGACGCGUAGGCGGGUUGGAAAGUCAGGUGUGAAAUCCUACAGCUUAACUGUAGAACUGCACUUGAAACUUCUAAUCUAGAGUAUGGGGGGGGAGAUGGAAUUAGUGGUGUAGGGGUAAAAUCCGUAGAUAUCACUAGGAAUACCUAAAGCGAAGGCGAUCUCCUGGAACAUUACUGACGCUAAGGCGUGAAAGCGUGGGGAGCAAACAGGAUUAGAUACCCCCGGUAGUC